rfam:Schistosoma mansoni strain Puerto Rico chromosome 1, complete genome
AUCCAGUUGACGAGCCCCGAAUAGGACGAAACGCGCGUCGUGGAU